rnacentral:lncRNA from 1 species
UGUUAUUAGAACUGGCAUGUAACUUUUCGGCGUAAUAAGAAGACUUACCUGUCAAUCGUAAAUAAAAUCUUUCCUAUCUUAAUUCUCGUCAUUUCGCACCGAACAUCUGAUCUGGUGUAUAGAUCAAAAUGGCUAGAACCCGAAGAGGAGUCGGGAACGUGAAUGGAGAUAGGAAUCAAUAGCCCCUAGUGGCUGAACAAAUACGUGUUGUAGUAACCGCACCUGAGCCAAUAACGAUGGUCGGGGUACAAGCGAUGAUCCAAAUGAUGUUGGAUCGUCAAAUGGAGGAAACAAGGUGUUUACUUCAACAGAACCAAGAAGAACUUACGGUACCAAUUGAACAGCCCGAGCUGAAUGAUGGGCAGUCAGAAGGAGAAAACUACAGUGGAACUGUUGGUCAAGCCAACCCACCGAUAGUUAGGCGAAACUACUAGGAUGGAGGAAACGACGGACGUGGAUGCAAAUACAAGGAUUUCAUGGCAUCCAAACCAACGAGUCUAUCCGGAAGCCCGACGCCGGUGGAAGUUAUGAACUGGAUCUCCGAAAUGGAGACAAUGUUUGAGAGUUGCGAGUCUAGCAACAGACAGAAAAUCGCUCUUGAAAUCUGGAGUACUGAGCUGGGGGAAGCUACUAGCUGAUUCUAUGCCUAAGGGAGAAGCUAGUAAGGAGUCUUUGGAGGAUUUUCUGGUGCAACUGGAGAUGCAAUACUGCUCUGAGCAGGAUCUUGUGGAGAUCAACAAUGGGUUCCAAAAUUUGAAGAAAGGAAGAAUGAGCGUUAUAGAAUACGCUGCAAGCUUUACGGAAAAAAUGAAGCCGGUUCCUUACCUAGUCCCAACCGAACUCUCCAAGGUUAACAAGUUUGCCCAUGGAUUACGAGCAGACUUUUGUCGAAUGGUCAAGCAAGAAACCACUUUGAAAGCCGCCAUCUGGGCAGCCAGGAAUGUUGAGACCCAGAUUAAGGAAACGGGUCUGGAGAGAGCUGAAUUUGGCGAGAAAAGGAAGCAUGAAGGAUCUUCAAAAUCCAACAAAGAAAGGAAAUUCUCAAAGACUGAUGAAGGAGGAGGAGGUGAAGCCAAGUGGUGUGAGAAGUGUAAAAAGAAGCACUUCAGGAAAUAUAGCGUGGAGUUGACUUGGUACAAAUGUGGAAAUACAGGGCAUUACACUGAGAGAUUAAGGAGAUGGAAAUCACUAGUAAUAAUGAAUGUAAGUUCUGUUUAUGCUUAUGUUUCUGUAUUGACGAUGACAUCCCAAAUGUUUUAAAAUGAAUAAAAAUACUUUUGUUUGGAAAUUCUUUGAUAAUGAAAUUAUCAUAUUUUUCUGGGAACAAAUUCCGCAACGUUUUUAUUAAAAGAGAUACUCUGAUUUUUAUAAAGCAUAAACAAAAUCGGUCUUUUUUGGCUGUGAAAUUGGGAUGUCACAGUUGGUACUAGAGCAUUAAUUUAAGUGAACUAGGAAUAUGGAUUUAUUUCUAGACUUAAACUUAGAAUGCUAAGCAAUGAUUGUGAGGAGUGUGUCUUAGGUAAUACACCUAAAUAGACACAAUCACUAGCUUAUUUAGGGAAAACGCCUAACAUGCUUUUAUGUGCUAAAUGAUUUAUGAUGCUAAAUGUAUGAUCGGAUCUAUGGUCUGUUGCCGACCAGAUCUUGAAAUUUUACGUGUACAGAUUUCUAAACGUUUAAUUAUGUUAUUAGAACUGGCAUGUAACUUUUCGGCGUAAUAAGAAGAUUUACCCGUCAAUCGUAAAUAAAAUCUUUCCUAUCUUAGUUCUCGUAAUUUCGCACCGAACAUCUGAUCUGGUGUAUAGAUCAAAAUGGCUAGAACCGGAAGUGGAGUCGGGAACGUGAAUGGAGAUAGGAAUCAAGAGCCCCUAGUGGCUGAACAAAUACCUGUUGUAGUAACCGCACCUGAGCCAAUCACGAUGGUCGGGGUACAAGCGAUGAUCCAAAUGAUGUUGGAUCGUCAAAUGGAGGAAACAAGGCGUUUACUUCAACAAAACCGAGAAGAACGUACGGUACCAAUUGAACAGCCCGAGCUGAAUGAUGGGCAGUCAGAAGGAGAAAACUACAGUGGGACCAUUGGUCAAGCCAACCCACCGAUAGUUAGGCGAAACUACUAGGAUGGAGCAAACGACGGACGUGGAUGCAAAUACAAGGAUUUCAUGGCAUCCAGACCACUGAGUCUAUCCGGAAGCCCGACGCCGGUGGAAGUUAUGGACUGGAUCUCCGAGAUGGCGACAAUGUUUGAGAGUUGCGAGUGUAGCAACAGACAGAAAACCGCUGUUGAAAUCUGGAGUACUGAGCUGGGCGAAGCUACUAGUUGAUUCUAUGCCUAAGGGAGAAGCUAGUAAGAAGUCUUUGGAGGAUUUUCUGGUGCAACUGAAGAUGCAAUACUUCUCUGAGCAGGAUCUUGUGGAGAUCAACAAUGGGUUCCAAAAUUUGAAGAUGGGAAGAAUGAGCGUUAUAGAAUAAACUGCAUGCUUUACGGAAAAGAUGAAGCCGGUUCCUUACCUAGUCCCAACCGAACUCUCCAAGGUUAACAAGUUUGCCCAUGGAUUACCAGCAGACUUUUGUCGAAUGGUCAAGCAAGCAACCACUUUGAAAGCCGCCAUCUGGGCAGCCCGGAAUGUUGAGACCCAGAUUAAGGAAAGGGGUCUGGAGAGAGCUGAAUUUGGCGAGAAAAGAAAGCAUGAAGGAUCUUCAAAAUCAAAAAAAGAAAGGAAAUUCUCAAAGACUGAUGAAGGAGAAGGAGGUGAAUCCAAGUGGUGUGAGAAGUGUAAAAAGAAGCACUUCAGGAAAUGUAGCGAGGAGGUGACUUGCUACAAAUGUGGAAAUACAGGGCAUUACACUGAGAGAUUAAGGAGAUGGAAAUCACUAGUAAUAAUGAAUGUAAGUUCUGUUUAUGCUUAUGUUUUUGUAUUGACGAUGACAUCCCAAAUGUUUUAAAAUGAAUAAAAAUACUUUUCUUUGGAAAUGCUUUGAUAAUGAAAUUAUCAUAUUUUUCUGGGAACAAAUUCCGCAACGUUUUUAUUAAAAGAGAUACUCUGAUUUUUAUAAAGCAUAAACAAAAUCGGUCUUUUCUGGCUGUGAAAAUGGGGAUGUCACAGUUGGUACCAGAGCAUUAGUUUAAGCGAACUAGGAAUAUGGAUUUAUUUCUAGACAUAAACUUAGAAUGCUAAGCAAUGAUUGUGAGGAGUGUGUCUUAGGUAAUACACCUAAAUAGACAUAAGCACUAGCCUAUUUAGGGAAAACGCCUAACAUGCUUUUAUGUGCUAAAUGAUUUAUGAUGCUAAAUGUAUGAUCGGAUCUAUGGCCUGUUGCCGACCGGAUCUGGAAAUUUUAUGUGUACAAAUUUCUAAACGUUUAAUUAUGCUAUUAGAACUGGCAUGUAACUUUCUGAUGUAAUAAGAAGAUUUACCCGUCAAUCGUAAAUAAAAUCUUUCCUAUCUUAAUUCUCGUCAUUUCGCACCGAACAUCUGAUCUGGUGUAUAGAUCAAAAUGGCUAGAACCCGAAGUGGAGUCGGGAACGCGAAUGGAGAUAGGAAUCAACAGCCCCUAGUGGCUGAACAAAUACCUGUUGUAGUAACCGCACCUGAGCCAAUCACGAUGGUCGGGGUACAAGCGAUGAUCCAAAUGAUGUUGGAUCGUCA